CUACGGGUCGCACCAGUGGGGAAUAUUGCACAAUGGGGGAAACCCUGAUGCAGCAACGCCGCGUGGAGGAUGACACAUUUCGGUGCGUAAACUCCUUUUAUAUAGGAAGAUAAUGACGGUACUAUAUGAAUAAGCGCCGGCUAACUCCGUGCCAGCAGCCGCGGUAAUACGGAGGGCGCAAGCGUUACUCGGAAUCACUGGGCGUAAAGGGCGUGUAGGCGGGUAGUUAAGUCAGAAGUGAAAUCCUAUGGCUCAACCAUAGAACUGCUUUUGAAACUGAUUACCUAGAAUAUGGGAGAGGUAGAUGGAAUUGCUGGUGUAGGGGUAAAAUCCGUAGAGAUCAGAAGGAAUACCGAUUGCGAAGGCGAUCUACUGGAACAUUAUUGACGCUGAGACGCGAAAGCGUGGGGAGCAAACAGGAUUAGAUACCCCCGUAGUC
rnacentral:rRNA from 1 species